UGUUCCCAUGUAUCCUUUGCCCUUCUCCUUCUAGAUGGAAAUGGUCAUGAGUUUGGUAGAUACUGCCUAAGAAUCUGUGUUGAAUUUCUGCAAUGCAUCUUGUCGAUACUACUCACUGCUGCUACUGAGGAUCGGUGGAAGGGGAUAAAUGCUUGCAGAUGUGAUAUCAAUCAGGUUACAUUGGCCCAGAUGAGUUCAAACUUUAUGAGUGUUGUUGGAGUUCAUUCAUCCAGGAUUUGAAGAGAUUGUCAGCUUUGUUUCGGAAAUGACAAUUACAUUCAGCUGGUGUGCUUGUCCCUGAAGACAGCAAAGGCUAUGAUAAUACUACACGCUUAAUUAUUAUGAUGAGCGAGGACACCACUUUGACUGGGACAACAUAUCCAUCCUAGGACAAGCCAAAAAGAGACAAGCAUGAGAAUUCCUAGAAGCAUGGCGUUCCAACCAGAACUGUGUCAACAAAUCGUGGGCGGCAGGGUGGCACAGUGGUUAGCACUGCUGCCUCACAGCACCUGAGACCCGGGUUCAAUUCCCGACUCAGAUGACAGACUGUGUGGAGUUUGCACGUUCUCCCCAUGUCUGCGUGGGUUUCCUCCGGGUGCUCCAGUUUCCUCCUACAGUCCAAAGAUGUGCGGGUCAGGUGAAUUGGCCAUGAUAAAAUUGCCCGUAGUGUUAGGUAAGGGGUAAA